AGCAAAAUGUCAGGGAGGAGAGAAGCAUGGCCUCUCGAGACAAACCCAGGCUGCUAAGAAUGUAAGCUCUGGUCUCACUUUGCGUUCCAGCCAAACACCUAAGUGCUCCUUUCUAUGACCAAAGAAUUCUUCACUGAUUAAAAUCUGGUUACAAAACAAGGGACCUAGAGAGAUGUUCACUUCACCACUUCUCUACAGAUGCCUCCUGCUGCUUCCAACUUUUCUCCUUUAAGGCAGGGUGAAUCCAAAUCAUGGUCUUAGCCCUGAAGGAGGCACCAAAGCAGUUUCGUUGCCCUGUGAAAAGCUUCUAGAGGAGCUCAUCUGAAUGCUU
rnacentral:lncRNA from 1 species